GGGCCCGCACAAGCGGUGGAGCAUGUGGUUUAAUUCGAUGCAACGCGAAGAACCUUACCAGGUCUUGACAUGUCACUUUUUUCUUGAAAAAGAAAGUUCCCGAGUGAACACAGGUGGUGCAUGGCUGUCGUCAGCUCGUGUCUUGAGAUGUUGGGUUAAGUCCCGCAACGAGCGCAACCCUUAUUCUGUGUUGCUAUUUAUAGGAAACUCAGAAGACUGCCGGUGAUAAGCCGGAGGAAGGUGAGGAUGACGUCAAGUCAGCAUGCCCCUUACGACCUGGGCCACACACCGUGCUACAAUGGCCGGGACAAAGAGAUGCAAUUUCGCGAGAGCAAGCUAACCUCAAAAACCCGGUCUUAGUUCGAUUGUAGGCUGAAACUCGCUACAUGAAGCUGGAAUCGCUAGUAAUCGCAGGUC
rnacentral:rRNA from 1 species